GGCGCUGUUGCCCUGCUGGAUCAGGGCGUCGAACUCGGGGUUCGAGUAGAACGUGGCGUUCGAACCCGCCGGCGGCA
rnacentral:tRNA from 1 species